rnacentral:tRNA from 1 species
GCAGUUAUGAUUCAGAGGUGGAAUUCUUAUCUUCCACAUGGGAGAUUUGGGUUCAAUUCCCAGCCAAUGCA